rnacentral:rRNA from 1 species
CCUUUUGUAUAAUGGGUCAGCGACUUAUAUUCUGUAGCAAGGUUAACCGAAUAGGGGAGCCGAAGGGAAACCGAGUCUUAACUGGGCGUUAAGUUGCAGGGUAUAGACCCGAAACCCGGUGAUCUAGCCAUGGGCAGGUUGAAGGUUGGGUAACACUAACUGGAGGACCGAACCGACUAAUGUUGAAAAAUUAGCGGAUGACUUGUGGCUGGGGGUGAAAGGCCAAUCAAACCGGGAGAUAGCUGGUUCUCCCCGAAAGCUAUUUAGGUAGCGCCUCGUGAAUUCAUCUCCGGGGGUAGAGCACUGUUUCGGCAAGGGGGUCAUCCCGACUUACCAACCCGAUGCAAACUGCGAAUACCGGAGAAUGUUAUCACGGGAGACACACGGCGGGUGCUAACGUCCGUCGUGAAGAGGGAAACAACCCAGACCGCCAGCUAAGGUCCCAAAGUCAUGGUUAAGUGGGAAACGAUGUGGGAAGGCCCAGACAGCCAGGAUGUUGGCUUAGAAGCAGCCAUCAUUUAAAGAAAGCGUAAUAGCUCACUGGUCGAGUCGGCCUGCGCGGAAGAUGUAACGGGGCUAAACCAUGCACCGAAGCUGCGGCAGCGACGCUGAUGCGUUGUUGGGUAGGGGAGCGUUCUGUAAGCCUGCGAAGGUGUGCUGUGAGGCAUGCUGGAGGUAUCAGAAGUGCGAAUGCUGACAUAAGUAACGAUAAAGCGGGUGAAAAGCCCGCUCGCCGGAAGACCAAGGGUUCCUGUCCAACGUUAAUCGGGGCAGGGUGAGUCGACCCCUAAGGCGAGGCCGAAAGGCGUAGUCGAUGGGAAACAGGUUAAUAUUCCUGUACUUGGUGUUACUGCGAAGGGGGGACGGAGAAGGCUAUGUUGGCCGGGCGACGGUUGUCCCGGUUUAAGCGUGUAGGCUGGUUUUCCAGGCAAAUCCGGAAAAUCAAGGCUGAGGCGUGAUGACGAGGCACUACGGUGCUGAAGCAACAAAUGCCCUGCUUCCAGGAAAAGCCUCUAAGCAUCAGGUAACAUCAAAUCGUACCCCAAACCGACACAGGUGGUCAGGUAGAGAAUACCAAGGCGCUUGAGAGAACUCGGGUGAAGGAACUAGGCAAAAUGGUGCCGUAACUUCGGGAGAAGGCACGCUGAUAUGUAGGUGAAGUCCCUCGCGGAUGGAGCUGAAAUCAGUCGAAGAUACCAGCUGGCUGCAACUGUUUAUUAAAAACACAGCACUGUGCAAACACGAAAGUGGACGUAUACGGUGUGACGCCUGCCCGGUGCCGGAAGGUUAAUUGAUGGGGUUAGCCGCAAGGCGAAGCUCUUGAUCGAAGCCCCGGUAAACGGCGGCCGUAACUAUAACGGUCCUAAGGUAGCGAAAUUCCUUGUCGGGUAAGUUCCGACCUGCACGAAUGGCGUAAUGAUGGCCAGGCUGUCUCCACCCGAGACUCAGUGAAAUUGAACUCGCUGUGAAGAUGCAGUGUACCCGCGGCAAGACGGAAAGACCCCGUGAACCUUUACUAUAGCUUGACACUGAACAUUGAGCCUUGAUGUGUAGGAUAGGUGGGAGGCUUAGAAGUGUGGACGCCAGUCUGCAUGGAGCCGACCUUGAAAUACCACCCUUUAAUGUUUGAUGUUCUAACGUUGACCCGUAAUCCGGGUUGCGGACAGUGUCUGGUGGGUAGUUUGACUGGGGCGGUCUCCUCCUAAAGAGUAACGGAGGAGCACGAAGGUUGGCUAAUCCUGGUCGGACAUCAGGAGGUUAGUGCAAUGGCAUAAGCCAGCUUGACUGCGAGCGUGACGGCGCGAGCAGGUGCGAAAGCAGGUCAUAGUGAUCCGGUGGUUCUGAAUGGAAGGGCCAUCGCUCAACGGAUAAAAGGUACUCCGGGGAUAACAGGCUGAUACCGCCCAAGAGUUCAUAUCGACGGCGGUGUUUGGCACCUCGAUGUCGGCUCAUCACAUCCUGGGGCUGAAGUAGGUCCCAAGGGUAUGGCUGUUCGCCAUUUAAAGUGGUACGCGAGCUGGGUUUAGAACGUCGUGAGACAGUUCGGUCCCUAUCUGCCGUGGGCGCUGGAGAACUGAGGGGGGCUGCUCCUAGUACGAGAGGACCGGAGUGGACGCAUCACUGGUGUUCGGGUUGUCAUGCCAAUGGCACUGCCCGGUAGCUAAAUGCGGAAGAGAUAAGUGCUGAAAGCAUCUAAGCACGAAACUUGCCCCGAGAUGAGUUCUCCCUGACUCCUUGAGAGUCCUGAAGGAACGUUGAAGACGACGACG